GAUGAACGCUGGCGGCGUGCCUAAUACAUGCAAGUCGAGCGAAUGGAUUAAGAGCUUGCUCUUAUGAAGUUAGCGGCGGACGGGUGAGUAACACGUGGGUAACCUGCCCAUAAGACUGGGAUAACUCCGGGAAACCGGGGCUAAUACCGGAUAACAUUUUGAACCGCAUGGCUCGAAAUUGAAAGGCGGCUUCGGCUGUCACUUAUGGAUGGACCCGCGUCGCAUUAGCUAGUUGGUGAGGUAACGGCUCACCAAGGCAACGAUGCGUAGCCGACCUGAGAGGGUGAUCGGCCACACUGGGACUGAGUCACGGCCCAGACUCCUACGGGAGGCAGCAGUAGGGAAUCUUCCGCAAUGGACGAAAGUCUGACGGAGCAACGCCGCGUGAGUGAUGAAGGCUUUCGGGUCGUAAAACUCUGUUGUUAGGGAAGAACAAGUGCUAGUUGAAUAAGCUGACACCUUGACGGUACCUAACCAGAAAGCCACGGCUAACUACGUGCCAGCCGCCGCGGUAA
rnacentral:rRNA from 1 species